GCGAGGGUGUCCGAGCGGCCAAAGCCUCGGUCCGCGGGACCGGGCAGUCACAGGGGCUAGCUUGAGGGGCUAGUGGCUUAGUGCCUUCGCAGGUUCGAAUCCUGCCCCUCGCA
rnacentral:tRNA from 1 species